rnacentral:rRNA from 1 species
GACGAACGCUGGCGGCGUGCCUAAUACAUGCAAGUAGAACGCUGAAGGAGGAGCUUGCUCUUCUGGAUGAGUUGCGAACGGGUGAGUAACGCGUAGGUAACCUGCCUGGUAGCGGGAGAUAACUAUUGGAAACGAUAGCUAAUACCGCAUAACAGUAGAUGUUGCAUGACAUUUGCUUAAAAGGUGCAAUUGCAUCACUACCAGAUGGACCUGCGUUGUAUUAGCUAGUUGGUGGGGUAACGGCUCACCAAGGCGACGAUACAUAGCCGACCUGAGAGGGUGAUCGGCCACACUGGGACUGAGACACGGCCCAGACUCCUACGGGAGGCAGCAGUAGGGAAUCUUCGGCAAUGGACGGAAGUCUGACCGAGCAACGCCGCGUGAGUGAAGAAGGUUUUCGGAUCGUAAAGCUCUGUUGUAAGAGAAGAACGAGUGUGAGAGUGGAAAGUUCACACUGUGACGGUAUCUUACCAGAAAGGGACGGCUAACUACGUG